GGAUUGUAGCUCUAUUGGUAGAGUGCUUGCCUAGCAUGGGUGAGGCUCUGGGUUCAAUCCUCAGCACCA
rnacentral:tRNA from 1 species